rfam:Colletotrichum gloeosporioides Cg-14 contig02479, whole genome shotgun sequence.
GGUUGUGUAGUGUAGUGGUUAUCACUCCGGAUUUUGAUCGUAUCAAAACUUCCGGCAACCCCGGUUCGAACCCGGGCUCGACCU